CAGUCAGUCUAGUGGUGAGUGCCGCGCGUGUAACACGGUGUACACCUACCCUCUCUCACACACGCACACAUACCUCUUAUCACUUCUAUUAGUUUUCGACAGUGUAAAUGUGGUAAUAAUUCCACAAAAAUAAAAAGACAGUAAAACAUGAACAAUAAAACCAAAUUUAUUUAUUACUAAACUUCAAUCUGUAAUAAUUACGAUAGGCGAAUGAAUUUUCUGCCAAGUGAAAUUUGUCAUUAUCUGCGUGAGAAAUAUUGUCUGCUUCUGCGGGUUGGGAGAUAAGAGACAGGUGAAGAGUGUGACAGAGAGACAGAAAAUGCCAGCGACAACUACACUCAACGGGGAGACAGUGUUGGUAGUCAGUGAUACUCAACUGGAAGACUGAACAAAGACAUAUCUACAGACUCCAGCACGUUUAACUAACACUAAGGAAGGCCAUCAUUCCUUGCCGUCUCUACCAGUGACAGCAAGUUCCUGUCUGUACACCUCCGACCUCCGCCUCCUCUCAGAGAGCACUUCUUCAGGUGUCCCUGAGCCCAGCGCUGACGCAGGGACACAACAGACGCCACAUUACUUGGGUUGAGCAGCCGUCGCCGCACCAGCAUCAUGCAGACGCCAGCCUGGGCCAAGCGCUUCUGGGCUGAUCUCAUUACCAAAGAAUUUAUCCCUAUCAAACUCCUCUUUUUCCUCAUUUAUGGAGCUUCCAUGGCAAUGUUCCCGUUCCUGACGCUGCAGGCACGAUCCCUGGGCAUCACAGAGAAGGAGCUGGGUAUUGUGUAUGCUUUCAACCCGGUCAUUGCUAUCGUGGGCCCUCCUCUUACCGGCAUGAUCGCUGACAAGAUUGGUAACUUCAAGUUGUUCUUGAGUAUAACGAUGGCAGCCAGCGGGGCGGCGUCGCUGGUGUUCUCAGCAGUGCCAACUGCCCGCUACCACCACCAGCUGCCUGAACAGCUGCCAUUCAGGGUAGCUUGUGGGACUGGUGAUAACCAGAGCGUACAACUUCUCCCUCCAUACCAAUGCGACUACCUGCCCAACCUCGACAACCUCACCCUCAACAUCACCAUCACCAACUGCACCUUCUGUCACUCCGGCAGUGGGCGAGGCCGAGAGACAGAGGUGGUGGGCGUGGUGCCGUGCCUGACACCGGGGGUGGGCGGGUGUGAGAGCCAGGAGGUGGCACCGCUCGCUGUCAUCAGUGCCAACACCAACGCCACCAUAGCUGGCGGCGACGCCACCAACAGUACCAUUGUUCCUGGUACAACUACUGGUCUCCAAGUGUUGGGCUGGUCCUGCCCACACCUCACCCAUCAGAACGAGACAGCAUACAGUGUGGGUGAGAGAGAUAAAGAGGGAAGCUGCAUCUUCCAGUGUUCAGCAACGUUACCCAGACAACACCUGUGUUCCAACACUGAGACUGUCCAGGUGGUGGACCCUAUGCUCACCUUCUGGUGUUACCUGCUCGUCCGCCUCCUCAACGGCCUCACCUUGGCUACCAGCUUCACUCUGUUCGACGGAGCAGCAAUGGCUAUCCUGAAGGAAUAUAAGGGAGAGUACGGCUUACAGCGUCUGUACGGUAACUUGGGAGCCAUCGUCGUCACUCCCGUCUCUGGCGUCCUCAUUGAUGUUUUCUCAGACAUGCACGGCUACCAGGACUACAGUCCAGCGUUCUAUCUGUACUGCUGCUUGAAGGUGGUUGCCGCUGUUCUCAUCUUGUUCGUGAACAUGGACUUCCGUGAGCCCUCCAGCACUGUCGUCAAGGACUUCCGCUUCCUGCUGAGACAGCCAGAGAUCCUGACCUUCCUUCUGGUUAUGCUCGUCUCAGGUACUUGUUUCGGGCUCCUCGAUACCUUCCUCUUCUGGCUGCUGCAAGACAUGGGCGCUCAGAAGUACCUGAUGGGCAUCACGGUGACUGUGGGCAGCCUGGCAGGCGUGCCCAUCCUCAUUGCGUCGGGAGCCAUCUUCAACAAACUGGGUCACGCCAACACCAUCGUCUUAGGAUUUGCUUUCUAUGUUGUAAGGAUGUUCGGUUACUCCUUCAUCACCAACCCGUGGUGGGUGAUGCCCUUCGAGGCGCUGGAGUGCUUCACGGUGUCACUGAUGGGAGCAGCAGCUGUGUCGUACGCAGCAGCACUCUCCACGCCCUCAACCAUCGCUACUCUGCAGGGCGUGUAUGGCGGAAUACACUUUGGCGUUGGUCGAGGCGUAGGGAGCUUGAUGGGCGGCUUUCUGAUGGGCCCAAUAGGAGUGCGUAAUACAUUCAGGUUGAUGGGCGUCAUCUGCGCUGUCACCUGCAUAUUGUACUUCGUCAUCAACCGCAUCUUCUUCAGGAAGUUGCAGUUAGAACGAGAAGAAAAGGAGAAGACAGAGGCUAAUGAAAACCACACCAUGGAGAAGAACCAGAAUGGUAUUGUGGAGAAUGGUACCAUGAAACACAAGAGUAACGAGGAGGUGAAGGAUGCAGUGAAAGGCAAAGAAAGUGAUGCUCGUGUUGUUAACAGUGGAAAGGGUACAUAUAAUGAAGCCUUCGAGAAAAAUGAGUAGGUUUCUGGGUAUGUUUGGGUGAGCCGCCUUGUAUGUUGUGAUCAGUGACUGUCUUGUUGAGUCACUCAGUAUGUUGUGAUCAGUCACUGUCUUGUUGAGUCACUCAGUAUGUUGUGAUCAGUGACUGUCUUGUUGAGUCACUCAGUAUGUUGUGAUCAGUGACUGUCUUGUUGAGUCACUCAGUAUGUUGUGAUCAGUGACUGUCUUGUUGAGUCACUCAGUAUGUUGUGAUCAGUCACUGUCUUGUUGAGUCACUCAGUAUGUUGUGAUCAGUCACUGUCUUGUUGAGUCACUCAGUAUGUUGUGAUCAGUGACUGUAACACCCACAGGUAUGUUGUGAUCAGUGACUGUAACACCCACAGGUAUGUUGUGAUCAGUGACUGUAACACCCACAAGUAU